rnacentral:pre_miRNA from 9 species
GGCUCCCCCGGGCAGGAUAUCAUCGUAUACUGUAAGUUGGCUAUGAGACACUACAGUAUAGAUGAUGUACUCCCCGGGCUGCCCC